ensembl:lncRNA
CGUCUUUCAGAAUUCUUUUUUUUUUUUUUUUUUAACUGUCGGAAGUAAAAAAUAUCAUUUUAAUGUCAAUAUAAAAACUGAAAAAUAUGGAACGCUUCAUGAAUUUGUGUGUCAUCCUUGCGCAGGGGCCAUGCUAAUCUCUGUAUUGUUCCAAUUUUAGUAUAUGUGCUGCCGAAGCAAGUACCAGAAUUCUUUUACUUAGAGAACUUUCAAAGGUUGGGAUAGAAAGUUAUGGGAGCCGUGAGAGAACAUCUUGGGUCAGGAAGAGCUCACACAGAAGGGUACAUCUUGCCUGCUAUAUAAGUGUACUUUAGAAGGAAACAGUAUGUGCAAAGGCAUGGAAAUGAAAGAGAAUGGCUUUUUCUAGGAGUCUUGGGUCAUCUGCUAUUUUUUUUUUUUUGGUUCCAGGGAUCAAACACAGGACCUUGUGCUUGUGAGGGAGGCACUGGAACCACUGAGCUAAAUCCCCAGCUCAUCUACUAUUUUUGAUACCUGUAGGGUCCAUAAAUGGCAGCUAGAGAAGAACUGCUGGAGAGAUGGGUCAGUCCUAGAGUGAGGGAAUUUGCACCUUGACAGUUGAUUUUUGACAAGAUAUGCCCUUCAAAGCCACACCUCCAUGACCUGCUACUUCUACAUCCUAAUGUCCAUUCUGCUGGAAACUCAUCAAUGGAUCAGUCUGUUGAUGAGGUUAGUGCCCUCAUGAUCCAGUCACCUCUCUAAGUGCCAACUCUAACAUUGAUGUGGUGGACAUCAAGUCUCCAAACCAUUAUACUAGUCAUUAGGGAAAUGCACAUCAAAACCACAGUGGGAUGUCAUUUCACACCAACUAGGAUGGCUGUAAUAAUAAAGGAAGGUCACAAGGGUUGGCAGGAAUGUGGAGAAAUUGGAACCCUUGUAGCCCUUGUACAGUAGUGUUAUGAAUUAAAAUGGCUCAGCCACUGUGGGAAGCACUUUGGUGGAUCCUCAGAAAGUUAGAACUACUAUAAUACACACUGCUCUGUAUCUAACCAAGGGAAAUUAAAAUGUGUUCAAACAACUUUUUUUUUUUUUUGGUACCAGGGAUCGAACUGGGACCUUGUUCUUGUGAAGGCAGGCGCCGGAACCACUGAGCUAAAUCCCCAGCCCAAAAACGUAUACCUAAUGUUUAUAGCAGGGCUAUUCAUGAUAGCCAAAUGUUGGAAAUAUGUACCCAAAUGUUGAAUAAUGGAUGAAUGAACGAAUAAAAUGUGGUUUAUACAUACACUCCUAGAAAGGAAUGAAGUCCUGACACAUGCUACAACAUGGAG